CCAGUUGCCUCUCUCUCUCUCUCGUAAUAAUCCCCGGCCAGUUGUUGUCAGAUUCCGGCCACCUUUCUCAGCUCAUUUAUAUAUACCCCCGCCCUCCCCUCUCUCCCCCUUUACCCUUCACAUUAUUUCCUCUUUCUUUCUUUCCUUCCACUCGAAACCUGAAAAUAAUCUCCAAAUCCCAAUACCCUUUCCACUCACACGUAUCCAUACAUGCCCCUAUCUGCAGCAGUGUAUGUACUUCGUCUAUCACUCUUCUCACUAACUCCCACUAGAGUAAUAUCCUUUUUCCCUCCCCCUGCGUACUUUAGCGGCAACCACCCACUGCUAAUCUUUCACUUUUUCUGUUCUUUCUCUCUCUAUCUUUUGGCUUUUCUACCUCUUCAUUGUGUGGUUGUUCGGGACCAUGAAUAGAGCAUUGUUGCCGGAGAUGUUGCACUGUACGGACAUGACAGUGCUUGAGAGACAAAGGGCUCGCUUUAAAUGGCAACAAGAACAAGAGCUACAACAGCAACAGCAGCAGCACCAUCAGCAAGAGAGUUUUUUUGGCGAUUUGAGUGGGGUGUUUCAGUUGCAGCUACAGCAUCAGGGGCUCCAGGGUGAUCUAGGUGAGGUCGUGACUCGGUCUGUGAAGCCUGACCCUGCUUCGAUGGAUAACGGCUGGCCUGGUUUGGUGGGGUUUGGUCCUUCUGGAUAUGAGAAUAACAAUGGGUCUGGUUUUGAUGUCAAUUAUGCUAUUUCUAGGACUUCCAGCUGCCAACCAGCUGUGGCGGGGGCUGCGGUGGAUGCUACGGUUUUGGCCGAAAGCAGAGAGCCUGUUAUGUCAGAGAAGUUGAGUCCUGGAGUUGGCAGAGAGAAUUUGAAGAAAAGAAAGGUCGAUAAACUGCAGCAUAACACAAAGGUCGUUGCAGAAGAUGAAAGCAGGGACAAAAGGGUCAAAGGAUGUGCAGGGGAAGGAGAGUCAAUGAACACAGAAAAAAAUAAUAACAAGAGCAGCAGCACCAGCAAAAACAGUACCAAAGAAAAUUCUGCAGAGACAUCCAAGGAUAAUUCAAAAGUAACAGAGGUUCAAAAACCAGAUUACAUUCAUGUCCGAGCACGCAGAGGUCAAGCCACUGACAGCCAUAGCUUAGCUGAAAGAGUGAGAAGGGAAAAAAUCAGCGAGAGAAUGAAGUACCUGCAGGAUUUGGUACCAGGAUGUAAUAAAAUUACAGGAAAAGCAGGCAUGCUUGACGAAAUCAUUAACUAUGUUCAAUCUCUUCAACGACAAGUAGAGUUCUUGUCCAUGAAACUAGCUGCUGUCAAUCCCAGGCUUGAAUUUAACAUUGAUAACGUAUUUGCCAAAGAGCAGGCGUUUCCUGCUCCUACAACCAAUUUUCCAGAAACUGGGAUGUCGUCAGAUUUGACUAAUCCUGUCUACCUUCAAUUUAAUCAAGCACAGCAACAGCAACAGCAACAGCAGCAGCAGCUAUUCAGUUCUUCAGGAUCUAUCCCUGAAAUGUUCAUUGACCCUUCUUGCUUCACUCAUAUUCAGCCCUCAUCAACUUGGGAUGCUGUUUCUGAUCUACAAAAAAUCUUUACAAUGUAGCAUUUGAACAAGGAAGAUCAACAUCCUUCACAACUCAGCCAUUUACAGGUAAAGAUAAGAGGCACCAUUGAAGCAAGUAAUCUGAAGAUGGAGAUGUGAAUGAGAAUAUGGAUUUGAUAGGAUUCUUGGAAGAGAGAUUUAUUUCUAAUGCAAUUUGAUCUUGAUUCUUUUUUUUUUUUUUCUUCUCUUAAGUACAUACCGUAUAUAUUUGUAUGUAUACUUGCAAUGACAUAGUAUGAAUAAAAUCAAAACUAUUAACAUCAAA